CUUGGGCAUUCCAGCAGUCACUCGCCUGCAGGUCCCUCAUGGGGAGCUUCCAAUAGCACUAUCCACGGAUCCCUCUGCCCCAGGAAACUGGAGUUCCUCAGAUCAGCAAGAGGGUUAUGAGCACCCAGCAAUGUGAUCAUUUAGGAAGAAAAUGGAACGUGAAGCUUACCACAUCAGAAAAACCAGUCAUCACACACAGCUUGGAACAGACAAGAACCUGGAGUCCUCUAACUUUGACAAUGUCUCUUUCAAGCUGCAAAGGGCAACUCGGGACAUAAAGCCAAAAGCCUGUGCAAGAUGAAGUCAAAAGUAAUUACUGACACUGUCCUCCACCCUGUGCCUGAGAGCAAUCUAGAGAGAUAACAACAUGCAAGGAUCCUUAGGGAAGCCUGGAGAAAUACAAAACGAAAGGACUGCUCUCUGUAGCCCUAGUAGCAGUGUAGCAGACUGUGCCCUGCUGCU